rnacentral:lncRNA from 1 species
GAGUGUUUGUGGAGGGAAGUGGGAGGCGCAGGCGGAGUGAUCUGUCCAGCGAGGGAGGAAGCAGAAGCCAGAGGCACGCGGCCUGUGCGCUUCGAAGCGUGGGGCAGUGUCAGUCGCGGUGGGGAAACGGGCGGCGUGACCAAGGCAGGAGUGAGGGAACACAGGGGGCUGUGUGAGCCCAGAGGAAGCACCUGGAGGCUGGGAGCAUCUGAAGGAAAGGAGGCAGCAGCCAGGUGAAAAGGGAGGAAGAGUUCCCGCCAGAAGGAGUAGCGGGUGCAGGUCUCACAGAUUUCAAGCCUGGCUACUGGAUUGGUGUCCGCUAUGAUGAGCCACUGGGGAAAAAUGAUGGCAGUGUGAAUGGGAAACGCUACUUCGAAUGCCAGGCCAAGUAUGGCGCCUUUGUCAAGCCAGCAGUCGUGACGGUGGGGGACUUCCCGGAGGAGGACUACGGGUUGGACGAGAUAUGACACCUAAGGAAUUCCCCUGCUUCAGCUCCUAGCUCAGCCACUGACUGCCCCUCCUGUGUGUGCCCAUGGCCCUUUUCUCCUGACCCCAUUUUAAUUUUAUUCAUUUUUUCCUUUGCCAUUGAUUUUUGAGACUCAUGCAUUAAAUUCACUAGAAACCCAGAAA